GGGCACUGUCCCCGCUACUGGCUGUGUGGUGCGGCUUUCCCCAGAGAGCCCCUGGGGCUCGUCGCCCUCCUCUGAGGGAGCCCUAGGGUAGCGCUAAGGGCUGUUCGGCCGUCCCCGAGUGCUUCUGCUUGGCUUUCGAGGGGAACAAUGAAGUAAAGACACUGCGAUGAAGUACAGAUACAGAAUGUGAUGACAUUGUGGAAGUGCAGUGGUCCUUGCGGUAUUCUCCAGCUACAGUGGAAGUGAGGACGUGUGUCUCACUAUGUUAAGAAGUCUUAAUCUAGAGAACUGCAAAUUGCAAUCCUUCCUGCAUUACUGAACAAGUGGAAACGCGCAGAAUGGAGUUCUACUUUGGAAACGAUUAACCAAUCCACUGUAUUUUCCUUUCUUGUAAUUGAUUUUCUAAAGCUCAAAAGUG